UCAUAAAUGUGGGUUUUUUUCAACCAAACUGUCAAAAGAAAUAACGUGGAUGGUUCCCUACAGCGUUCUUCAACAAGUAAAAUACAUGAUCAGUUCACUACUUUCAUUGAAUUUGGAUGUUUUAUUAAAUUUUAUUGCAUUUAAAAAAAAAAUAAUAAUAAAA